UCGUAAAACCGAGGUGCGAGGGCUGUCGCUGACCUUUUCGGUCGUGCACGCCCGAGCGCUCUCACACAAUCCAUCUCACCCCUUGUGCACCACCGCGUGGGUCCCUUUCUGGCUUGUCCGGAGGGGGGCUCGCGUUUUCACACAAACUUGAAGUAGUGUAGAAUGUCCUUUUUUUGCGAUAACAUGCAAUCAAUA
rnacentral:misc_RNA from 1 species